rnacentral:ribozyme from 11 species
AAGAAAAGAAAAGAAAUAAGAGAAAAUCCAAGAUGGAACUUUUUCAUAAUCUUUUAAAAAAUACUCUUUUUCUUUCUUUUGGAAAUCCCAUACUUUCUUACUCUCUACCUCUCUCUCUUACACUCUCCCAUCUCCCAUCUCGCAUGCGGAUGGGGGGACCUUCGGUCCAAGAUGGGAGAGGAGGAGAGAGAAAGACUCAUGGAUUAUUUAUUUCUUAGUCUUUAG